GAUAAAGUUGAAGAGACCGUGCAGCCACAGAAGCUUGUGCAUGAAAAAGCCUCAUUGGACAAAGUUGCCACGAUCAAGCCCCGCCCCUCGAGUCGCUUUUUGGCCACAUCCAUGGAUUUGAAUCCGUCCACGUCUGAAAGGCCAGGAGUUGCUGUAGUUCCCCCUAGUGUUCCUGCAAGAUCCCAUGGAAGUUAUGUUCGUGUGCCAAAAAGCUGUAUGAGAAGACAAAAGUCCAUUGGAAUUGCAGGAGAAGAAAAGAAGCUCCUCAUACCUCCACUGCUCAAGUUCACCAGAAGUCUCUC